rnacentral:rRNA from 1 species
UACGGAGGGUGCAAGCGUUGCUCGGAAUUAUUGGGCGUAAAGGGUAGGUAGGUGGUCUCAUUUGUCUGGGGUGAAAUCCUUGAGCUUAACUCAAGAAGUGCCUCAGAAACGGUGAGACUAGAGUUCUGGAGAGGGUCGUGGAAUUCCCGGUGUAGCGGUGAAAUGCGUAGAGAUCGGGAGGAACACCAGAGGCGAAGGCGGCGACCUGGACAGAUACUGACGCUGAGGCACGAAAGCGUGGGGAGCAAACAGG